rnacentral:tRNA from 1 species
CAAGUUAUCCCCAAGGGGGUUUAUUAUUUACAUUAAUAAAUGUAAUCGUGCAAUUCGAUUUAACUUGA